rnacentral:tRNA from 2 species
GCCCGAGUGGCGGAACGGUAUACGCACAACACUUAAAAUGUUGCGAGGUUUCCUCAUGUGGGUUCGACUCCCACCUCGGGCACCA